rnacentral:rRNA from 1 species
GAUUUCUGGUGUGGUGCGCUGAGUCCGCCUCGUAAGAGGUGAGUGCUUGUGUGCGCCUGCCAUAUUUCCCGAAUCGGUCAGUGUUCUGCCCUUCACUGGGUUGGAGCAUUGGUCUCGGGAUCAUUUACUUUGAAAAAAUUAGAGUGUUUAAAGCAGGCAUUUCGCUAUGAAUACAUUAGCAUGGAAUAAUAAGAUAGGACUUUGGUUCUAUUUUGUUGGUUUCUAGGACUGAAGUAAUGAUUGAUAGGGACAGUUGGGGGUGCUAGUAUUUAACGGCCAGAGGUGAAAUUCUUGGAUUCGUUAAAGACUAACUUAUGCGAAAGCAUU